GGGGAGCCGAAUAACCACUAUGGUGCCAGAGAGCCAUGUAUUCAGAUGAACUUUGGAGCUGAAAACGGCUGGAACGAUGAAUCAUGUGGGAAGAGCUAUCCCUCCGUGUGCUCCAUAAGAACCUGUUUAAUCCUUCAAACUAUCAAUUGAAACCAAAAAUGCUACGCCGGUGUCAGCAUCCUAACUGCAAAUGUUAUGUAGUUAUUGUUUCUUGUCAAUAAAACAGGUGUCUGUAUUUAAUCUCAUGAGUCGUAAUUAAACAUUGAUUCACUUUGAA